GACACGGGCUUCGAUCGACCUCUCAGCCUCGAUCGAUUUCUCUCUUUCUUCCCGAGAAAAAGCUGCGGAGUCACAGCCGCCGCCCCGACCUGAAGCCACCCGCCGGCGCCGGCGAGGGCGGUCCUGAGGUGUGGGGGAAGGUACUGAGGUCAACUCGAUCUUGAAGAGGUAUCAUGUCUCAAGAAGAGUUGGUUGCAUACGUAAUCGAGGAGAACAAAAAAAGAAAAAGGAAAAGGAUCAUAUUGACAAAGAUGUGGUUCGAGAUGUCAUGCAUGGCACUUGCUUAUCUUAGUACGCAAAGGACACCGAGAAAUGUAGGAUAUUUCGAUGAUGAUGAGGAGAAGGUUGCAUAUAGGAAGUACAUCUUUAAAAAAACAUAUAAUGGAUCCGAGGCAGCUUGCUAUGAUAAGCUACGGUUAACUAAAAGGAAUUUCCACGAUCUUUGUGCUAUGUUGCGUGAGAAGUGUGGUCUGAAGGAUAGCAUCUAUGUGACAGUAGAAGAAAAUGUUGCUAUGUUCCUACAAGUUGUUGGACAUGGAAUUAAAAUGAGAGUUUUGGGUGGCACGUAUCAGCGAUCUAUAGAGACUAUUAGUAGACACCUCUCUACUGUGUUAUCAGCCAUCCUAUCUCUAAGUACGGAGUUCAUUAAACUUCCCGAUGCUUCUGCUACCCCUCCUAAUGAUUACAAAUGGCAGUGGUUUGGCAAUGCACUUGGAGCACUCGAUGGGUUCCAUAUUCCUGUGUAUGUUAAUACUGCUGACAAAGGGAGGUAUAGGAACCGAAAGCAAGAAAUCAGUACUAACAUGCUAGGUGUGGUUGAUUGGAACAUGAAAUUUCUGUAUGUUCUACCUGGUUGG